UUGGAUAUGGUGUAUGGUGCACAGCCCAGAUUCAUAUGUCGAUCAAAGUGGUCCUUGUUGGGCAGGACGGGGUUCGAUUCCCCGUAUCCGAA